GCGUGCGACCUGGGUAAAAGGGUGAAAGUCUAAUCAAACCAUCUAGUAGCUGGUUCCCUCCAAAGUUUCCCUCACCAUAGGUG